rnacentral:rRNA from 1 species
GAUGAACGCUGGCGGCGUGCCUAAUACAUGCAAGUCGAGCGAACAGACGAUUAGCUUGCUCCUCUGACGUUAGCGGCGGACGGGUGAGUAACACGUGGAUCACCUACCUUUAAGACUGGGAUCACUUCGGGAAACCGGAGCUAAUACCGGAUAAUAUAUUGAACCGCAUGGUUCAAUAGUGAAAGACGGUUUUGCUGUCACUUAUCGAUGGAUCCGCGCGGCAUUAGCUAGUUGGUAAGGUAACGGCUUACCAAGGCAACGAUGCGUAGCCGACCUGAGAGGGUGAUCGGCCACACUGGAACUGAGACACGGUCCAGACUCCUACGGGAGGCAGCAGUAGGGAAUCUUCCGCAAUGGGCGAAAGCCUGACGGAGCAACGCCGCGUGAGUGAUGAAGGUCUUCGGAUCGUAAAACUCUGUUAUUAGGGAAGAACAAAUGUGUAAGUAACUAUGCACGUCUUGACGGUACAUAAUCAGAAAGCCAAGGCUAACUACGUG